rnacentral:rRNA from 1 species
CCAAUAGCGUACAUUAAAGUUGUUGCAGUUAAAAAGCUCGUAGUUGAACUUCGGGGUCUACCCAUUGGUCAGGCUUAAUUGUCUGCACUGGUGAGAUGGAUCUCUACCUUCUGAGGAACUUUCAUGCCAUUUAUUUGGUGUGGUUGGAAAUCAGGACUGUUACUUUGAAAAAAUUAGAGUGUUUAAAGCAGACUAUCGUUUGAAUACAUUAGCAUGGAAUAAUGAAAUAGGACGGACUGAUUCUAUUUCGUUGGUUUCUAGGAUCACCGUAAUGAUUAAUAGGGAUAGUUGGGGGCAUUAGUAUUCAAUUGUCAGAGGUGAAAUUCUUGGAUUUAUUGAAGACUAACUACUGCGAAAGCAUUUGCCAAGGAUGUUUUCAUUAAUCAAGAACGAAAGUUAGGGGAUCGAAGACGAUCAGAUACCGUCGUAGUCUUAACCAUAAACUAUGCCGACUAGGGAUCGGACGAAGUUAAUUUUAUAAUGACGCGUUCGGCACCUUACG